GGAGCGGAGAAAAAAUGGUUAAAAAAUGGACGGUGGUGGAGAAGAAUGGAGUGGAGGGAGAAAGGAGCUGGAGGACAAGGAGGCAGCAGCAGAAUGGACAUGAAAAACUGUGGAGAAUUGUUUGUGCUCAUCCUCAACGUCCUGCUUUCAGUCUAGAUUGAUUGCAGAUCUUGCCAUCCUGACAGCACUCCUCCAGAAACCAAUGGCAUCAAGGCAGCAUCACAGAACACCUGAUAAAAUGGAACGCUGUGUGGAUAGUCCAAUAUAAAUCCACUACCAACGCACUAGUAUUGUAUCCGUGACAUGUCCCAAAAUAU